rnacentral:rRNA from 1 species
UGCAAGUCGUACGAGAGUUUUUAACUCAAGUGGCGGACGGGUGAGUAACGCGUGAGAAUUUGCCUUUAGGAGGGGGACAACAACUGGAAACGGCUGCUAAUACCCCAUAUGCUUUCGAGUAAAAUGAAUUUAUUCGCCUAGAGAGAAGCUCGCGUCUGAUUAGCUUGUUGGUAGGGUAAAGGCCUACCAAGGCGACGAUCAGUAUCUGGUUUGAGAGGACGAUCAGACACACUGGAACUGAGACACGGUCCAGACUCCUACGGGAGGCAGCAGUGGGGAAUUUUCCGCAAUGGGCGAAAGCCUGACGGAGCAAUACCGCGUGAGGGAAGACGGCCUAUGGGUUGUAAACCUCUUUUUUCAGGGAGGAAUAAAUGACGUGUACCUGAAGAAUAAGCAUCGGCUAACUCCGUGCCAGCAGCCGCGGUAAGACGGAGGAUGCAAGUGUUAUCCGGAAUCACUGGGCGUAAAGCGUCUGUAGGUUGUUAAAUAAGUCAACUGUUAAAUCUUGAAGCUCAACUUCAAAAUCGCAGUCGAAACUGUUUGACUAGAGUAUAGUAGGGGUAAAGGGAAUUUCCAGUGGAGCGGUGAAAUGCGUAGAUAUUGGAAAGAACACCGAUGGCGAAGGCACUUUACUGGGCUAUUACUGACACUCAGAGACGAAAGCUAGGGUAGCAAAUGGGAUUAGAUACCCCAGUAGUCCUAGCCGUAAACAAUGGAUACUAGAUGUUGAACAGAUCGACCUGUGCAGUAUCAAAGCUAACGCGUUAAGUAUCCCGCCUGGGAAGUAUGCGCGCAAGCGUGAAACUCAAAGGAAUUGACGGGGGCCCGCACAAGCGGUGGAGCAUGUGGUUUAAUUCGAUGCAACGCGAAGAACCUUACCAGGGUUUGACAUGAUACGAAUUUUUGUGAAAGCAAAA